CGAAUGUAGCAAUACAUGGCGAACUGCUCAGUAACACGUGGACAACCUGNNNNNAGGUUGGGUAUAAACCCGGGAAACUGGGUAUAAUACCCGAUAGGUCUCGAUUGCUGGAAUGCAUCGAGAUUUAAAGCUCCGGCGCCUAAGGAUGGGUCUGCGGCCUAUCAGGUAGUAGUGGGUGUAGCGUACCUACUAGCCUACGACGGGUACGGGUUGUGAGAGCAAGAGCCCGGAGAUGGAUUCUGAGACACGAAUCCAGGCCCUACGGGGUGCAGCAGGCGCGAAAACUUUACAAUGCUGGCAACAGCGAUAAGGGAACCUCGAGUGCCAGGUUACAAAUCUGGCUGUCGAGAUGCCUAAAAAGCAUUUCAUAGCAAGGGCCGGGCAAGACCGGUGCCAGCCGCCGCGGUAACACCGGCGGCUCGAGUGGUAACCGUUAUUAUUGGGUCUAAAGGGUCUGUAGCCGGCCGGAUAAGUCUCUUGAGAAAUCUGGCAGCUUAACUGUCAGGCUUUCAGGAGAUACUGUCUGGCUCGAGGCCGGGAGAGGUGAGAGGUACUUCAGGGGUAGGGGUGAAAUCUUGUAAUCCUUGAAGGACCACCAGUGGCGAAGGCGUCUCACCAGAACGGACCUGACGGCAAGGGACGAAAGCUAGGGGCACGAACCGGAUUAGAUACCCGGGUAGUCCUAGCCGUAAACGAUACUCGCUAGGUGUCGGCCACGGUGCGACCGUUGUCGGUGCCGUAGGGAAGCCGUGAAGCGAGCCACCUGGGAAGUACGGCCGCAAGGCUGAAACUUAA
rnacentral:rRNA from 1 species